UGUCCUCACGAAGUGGGCCUAAGACAGUAACGUUGCAACUUCAUGUCUUCGAACCUACCAUGUAUCUGAACCAUGUAUCUGAACCCAAAGAUUAAAAAAAAAAAAAGGCAGGAAGCAUCCUCGACAGGCCUAAGCUCCCUGCCCCUUAUCAGUAUUAACUUCAGCAGGAGUUAUAUCUUUUUUCCACAAAGUUCCACCAUUUGAUUCUAUUAUAUAUCAGAGAACCUGCUAAUGACUUUCUUUUUGGGAAUAGAAAUAUGUGUCAAAUACUUUCACUAAAGGCAUGGGUAUAAUGAAUAUGCCCCUUUGUUUCAAAUUUAUCUGACUCAUUAAAAAAAAAAAAGAAGAAGAAAGAAAAGAAAAGAAAUGAUUCAGACCGAAAUUCCAGAAUUGGGAAAGUUGUACAAUAACCUUAAAAUUGGAUACAUUUCUAGUCAGUAAUGAACCAACUAGAGUUCUGAUGAAUGCAUGAUAUUUAAAGGGAAUAAGCCAAAUGUCAUGCCACAAGACCCUUUCCCAAAACACAAGCAUUCUGCUCAAAUGUGGAGACAGCAAUUCUAAUGUUCCUUUGUUGCCAAGCAUGGGGAGUGGAAAGAUGGAGAAUAACCAGGACACACCCACCAGGGCUUCCUGGGAGAAAAGCUGAGAACAGAAGCCCCCAACAAGGGCCUCUCCUAGAUGCUUCCUGCUCCCAUAGAAAACUUCUCGAUAACAGGGAAAUACCCAAGUGUCAAAAUUCCACUAUCAGGGAAACGGCUGUCUCCUUCUCUACACCACAUGAAGAACAGAAUUUCUGUUCUUCGUAACCAGGUCUGAUUGGUACAGACACUCCAAUAAAUCAUGACCUAGAAGUAUUGUCAGCAUGGACAGGUAGAGAAGUGCUGACUCAUUUUCCUAAGCCCAAACUUGGAAAUAUGGGUGAUAUAUUUCCCUCCUCCUAUAAAGGAGAGUUUCAAACCUAUUUCAUUUUGUUCUGUUUAUUUUGGGAAGGUACAUGGGGGUGUUCUUUCAAAUGAUUCAUUUAGUUUUUUCAAACCCAUACCACUCUCAAUGUUCAUUUGAUGUGUUCAAAGCCAAAAAAAAUAUGAAAUAACAUUUUAAGCAGAGCUGAACACUAACUCGGACAUGAAGCUGAAGGAGUGAGCAAGCCACAGGAGAGGGUCUAAGCGAAGCAUGGCCUUGGCUUCAUACCACACUUUUUGUGCCUUGUAUUAUCAGUGUAAAUUCUGAAUGUUGUACAGUAAAUACUUGGAUGGACUCCUUAGCAAGGAUGCACCGGCUUCUUUUUUCAGCACAUGUACAUAUCUAUAAAUAUAUAUACAUAUAUAUUUGGUAAUGCCAAACAGCUAUGUUAUAUUGUACUGAACAAAAUGGCCCGUUUGGAUGUUUUAUGUAGAGUUUGCAAAAAAACCAAAAUGGAUGGUUAUUGACUUUUCGAGAUAAAUGUACAGGCAUAAAUUACUGCUUACCAGUUAUUUAUGAAUAAAGAGUCUUUUCUUGACAUUUU
rnacentral:lncRNA from 1 species